rnacentral:rRNA from 1 species
CCCUAUGGGGUGCAGCAGGAUUGGUGCUGUUAAUCCUACUGAGUGGCUGCACGCCAGCGGCAACUGAACUGCCGCCCACGCCAACCAGCACCCUGACCCCAACGGCCACCCCCACAGUGGUGUGGUUCCCGGCGACGGCUACACCCAGCCCGCAGCCCACAUCCCAGCCGUCGCCGACAUCCGAGGUCCGGCCAGCACUGGGCGAGGUGAUUUUUAGCGACGGGUUCACCAGCGCUGGCGACUGGCCGGUGGGCAGCCUGCCAGCCGGUAAUAUAGCCCUGGGAGACCGCCGAUUGACGCUGGCAAUCUCUCAGGCGGGGGGGC